rnacentral:rRNA from 1 species
UACGAAGGGGGCUAGCGUUGCUCGGAAUCACUGGGCGUAAAGCGCACGUAGGCGGCUUUUUAAGUCAGAGGUGAAAUCCUGGAGCUCAACUCCAGAACUGCCUUUGAUACUGGAGAGCUUGAGUCCGGGAGAGGUGAGUGGAACUGCGAGUGUAGAGGUGAAAUUCGUAGAUAUUCGCAAGAACACCAGUGGCGAAGGCGGCUCACUGGCCGGUACUGACGCUGAGGUGCGAAAGCGUGGGGAGCAAACAG